rnacentral:misc_RNA from 1 species
GACGUAGGGCGCGAGCGUUGUUCGGAAUUACUGGGCGUAAAGCGCACGUAGGCGGAUUGUUUAGUCAGGGGUGAAAUCCCGGGGCUCAACCCCGGAACUGCCCCUGAUACUGGCAAUCUCGAGUUCGGAAGAGGUGAGUGGAAUUCCGAGUGUAGAGGUGAAAUUCGUAGAUAUUCGGAGGAACACCAGUGGCGAAGGCGGCUCACUGGCCCGAAACUGACGCUGAGGUGCGAAAGCGUGGGGAGCAAACAGG